rnacentral:rRNA from 1 species
GACGAACGCUGGCGGCGUGCUUAACACGUGCAAGUCGAACGGAAAGGCCCUGCUUUUGUGGGGUGCUCGAGUGGCGAACGGGUGAGUAACACGUGAGUAACCUGCCCUUGACUUUGGGAUAACUUCAGGAAACUGGGGCUAAUACCGGAUAGGAGCUCCUGCUGCAUGGUGGGGGUUGGAAAGUUUCGGCGGUUGGGGAUGGACCCGCGGCUUAUCAGCUUGUUGGUGGGGUAGUGGCUUACCAAGGCUUUGACGGGUAGCCGGCCUGAGAGGGUGACCGGCCACAUUGGGACUGAGAUACGGCCCAGACUCCUACGGGAGGCAGCAGUGGGGAAUAUUGCACAAUGGGCGGAAGCCUGAUGCAGCAACGCCGCGUGCGGGAUGACGGCCUUCGGGUUGUAAACCGCUUUCGCCUGUGACGAAGCGUGAGUGACGGUAAUGGGUAAAGAAGCACCAGCUAACUACGUG